CCUACGGGAGGCAGCAGUAGGGAAUCUUCCACAAUGGGCGAAAGCCUGAUGGAGCAACGCCGCGUGAGUGAUGAAGGCCUUCGGGUUGUAAAACUCUGUCAUUCGGGACGAACCGGAGUCUGAGGAAAUGCAGACUCUCUGACGGUACCGGAGGAGGAAGCCCCGGCUAACUACGUGCCAGCAGCCGCGGUAAUACGUAGGGGGCAAGCGUUGUCCGGAUUCACUGGGCGUAAAGCGCGCGCAGGCGGUGAUGUAAGUCUGAGGUGAAAACCCGAAGCUCAACUUCGGGACUGCCUUGGAUACUGCGUCACUUGAGGAUAGGAGAGGCAAGGGGAAUUCCGACGUGUAGCGGUGAAAUGCGUAGAGAUGUGGAGGAACACCUGUGGCGAAGGCGCCUUGCUGGCCUAUUUCUGACGCUGAGGCGCGAAAGCGUGGGGAGCAAACAGGAUUAGAUACCCUGGUAGUCCACGCUGUAAACGAUGAGUGCUAGGUGUAGGUGGGCUCAUACCCAUCUGUGCCGAAGCUAACGCAUUAAGCACUCCGCGUGGGGAGUACGGUCGCGAGACUGAAACUGAAAGGAUUGACGG
rnacentral:rRNA from 1 species